rfam:Triticum aestivum genome assembly, contig: Triticum_aestivum_CS42_TGACv1_scaffold_526936_6DL
GAUGUACUCCCUCCGUCCCAAAAUUCUUGUCUUAGAUUGGUCUAAAUACGGAUGUAUCUAGUUACGUUUUAGUGUUAGAUACAUCCGUAUCUAGACAAAUUUAAGACAAGAAUUUUGGGACGGAGGGAGUAUGAU